rnacentral:rRNA from 1 species
CAGCAGCCACGGUAAUACGGAGGGUGCAAGCGUUAAUCGGAAUUACUGGGCGUAAAGCGUGCGUAGGCGGUUCGUUAAGUCUGUUGUGAAAGCCCCGGGCUCAACCUGGGAAUGGCAAUGGAUACUGGCGAGCUAGAGUGUGUCAGAGGAUGGUGGAAUUCCCGGUGUAGCGGUGAAAUGCGUAGAGAUCGGGAGGAACAUCAGUGGCGAAGGCGGCCAUCUGGGACAACACUGACGCUGAGGCACGAAAGCGUGGGGAGCAAACAGGAUUAGAUACCCGCGUAGUCCCUGUCUCUUAUAA